rnacentral:lncRNA from 1 species
AAUAGUGAAACCCUAACCCUAAAUAGUUAGCUAAUCGUGUCAUUAACUUAAAAUAGAUCUAAUUAUACCGUAAUCUUAUUUAAAAUGAAUCUAAUCUCGACAUUAGACAUAUAGACAUCCAUCACAAAACUUAGCAGUAAGUAAUUGUAUCUAAUCUGACUUAGACGAAAUUAAUCUAACAAGAUAUGAGGCAUGAAAAACUAAUCAGGCUUUUAAAAGGGUCAUGAAUAGAUCUAAGUAGGUUCUUGAUACCAAUUGAUAGAUAUAACCAUAUCAUAAAUCAUGAAUAACUUCUACACUAUAUCUUAAUCUUAGACCAUUACAUGACCACUAAUUAACUAUUAAAGAAAUACUAAGAAGAUUAGUGCUAGACCAGCGUUGGCAGUCGCUAUAGGAGCCUCCAAUGGUGAUGCAGUUGACAGUGGUGUUGUAGACAGACGUGAUUCACCAGCUGGAGGGUUGGAGAACCCUCUGCAGGUGUUAAUCUGCGCGUGCCAGGUAGCGGUGGCCUUCGGGAUGCCACUGGCAGUUCCCUAGAUGGGAUUGUGACCUUCCUAAACUCUUAAGCGCCUGAUUUGAUAUGUUUGCUUGAAAUGAAUGACGUGCGGAGGCACCAGGGGCGCCUCUGCUUAUAUACUAUGCUGGUUGAGUUUCUAUAUGACGAGAGUUCACAAUUCCUACCACAGCCAAAUAUACAUGCUUACUAGAUUAGGAAAGCCAUCCACUUCCAUAUAUUGCUUGUAGGCAUUGCAGGUAGUUAAGAUGUUGACCCUCAGGAAUUAGUCAUACAGUUAAAGUUAAUAUUUUGUGCUCUCCAUCCACUGAUCUAUGUUGUUUCUAUCCUCAGAAGUAUGCCCCCAUUCAUAAGUCACUACGCUGUAUUUACUCUGUCCUACUUCUAUUCCUAGAAGUACAACCUAAAUAUAUACACUCUACAGGCAUCUUGUGUUGUUUCUACCCUAGAAACAUGCACCUAUGCUUCUCCCACCUUAGGAGUACGCAUUCCUCUAUUCACAUUCAUACAUUUCAUUCAUUCAGAAAAUGUUCUACUCCUACACUGGGAGUGAACACAAAAAAUAUAUGUCACUAUCCUAUCCUUUUUUUGUCAUGCAAAAAGGCUCUAGUUACUUCAGUUGAUUCUCUCUAUUGAUAUAUUUCAAGUAAGAGGCUUGGUUGCUCUAAAAAAAGAAAAAAAGAUGAAAGAGGACAAAUGUCCAAAGAAAAAAAUGAGCAGCCCAAGUACUCUCCAAAGUUUCUAGAGUUCCAGAUAAGGAAGGUAUAUAUCCCCAAGGAGCAAAUGUAGAAUUAUAUCUCCACCAUCAUCAUUAUCGCUAAUCAUAAUCAUUUCAUUAUCAUCAUUACAAUUCAUAUCACUCACUUCACUCCUUUCAUCCACAUGCACAUAUGAUUUGAUUGUAUGACUAGUUCCUCUGGAUCCAUGGUUUAACUAUACAACAUAUGUCUGUAUGUAUGUUUGAGCUGUCUCCUAACCUAUGAGCUCCACAUAAGCCUAUUAGAUGUAGGGUGAGAGCGAAGGCACAGUGCCACAAAUACUACAUAUUCUGAGAGUAGAGAUAAGGCAUACAUCAUUCAUGCCUUGGAGAGGAUCCAAAAAUACCACAAAUGAGAGACUUGAAUGGGUCAUAAACAGGAAUCUCUGAGUUUUAUUUGAAAAUCUUGUAAAACCUUCGGAAUAAUAGUUGAUCAAAGAGCGAGAAACAUAGUGCUUGACUUGACCAUUCUGUCUAUCAACUGCUCAAGACCUAAGUGACGGUUACAAGCCCCAUGGUGGAAGGUAAUAUGAGUGAGUUUCGAGUUAGAAUAGUUAACUCUAAAUUUAGAGGAGAGUUCUUAUUUGAAUGCAUGUGUACUGUUGAGACAUGACAACAUUGUAGCAACUCCUGAUCCAUCCUGGAGUUUAUCUUUGCUCAGGGAUGAGCAAAGGGUAAGCUUGGGGAAGUUGUUGAUGGUAGAUAACUCCUAAUUUUAACCAUGAACUAAACAUGAAAAUGAAUCUAUAUGUAAACACCUACUAGAUAUAGGGUUAUCACUAAUAGAAUUCCACGAGUUUUGGUGAAUAUCUAUUUCUACAAGGUGUCAGCUGAAAACAACCAAAGAUGGUCUACAUGUCACAUUCACAUAGAGAUAAUUCCACG